rnacentral:tRNA from 1 species
ACCUGGAUAGCUCAGUCAAUUAAGCAACUGACUUCAGCUCAGGUCACGAUCUCACAGGUUUGUGAGUUCAAACCCCACACCAGGUU